rnacentral:rRNA from 1 species
AACGCUAGCUACAGGCUUAACACAUGCAAGUCGAGGGGAAACGAUAUUGGAAGCUUGCUUCCGAUAGGCGUCGACCGGCGCACGGGUGAGUAACGCGUAUCCAACCUGCCCAUCACUUGGGGAUAACCUUGCGAAAGUAAGACCAAUACCCAAUGAUAUCUCUAGAAGACAUCUGAAAGGGAUUAAAGAUUUAUCGGUGAUGGAUGGGGAUGCGUCUGAUUAGCUUGUUGGCGGGGUAACGGCCCACCAAGGCGACGAUCAGUAGGGGUUCUGAGAGGAAGGUCCCCCACAUUGGAACUGGGACACGGUCCAAACUCCUACGGGAGGCAGCAGUGAGGAAUAUUGGUCAAUGGGCGAGAGCCUGAACCAGCCAAGUAGCGUGCAGGAUGACGGCCCUAUGGGUUGUAAACUGCUUUUAUAAGGGAAUAAAGUGAGUCUCGUGAGACUUUUUGCAUGUACCUUAUGAAUAAGGACCGGCUAAUUCCGUGCCAGCAGCCGCGGUAAUACGGAAGGUCCGGGCGUUAUCCGGAUUUAUUGGGUUUAAAGGGAGCGUAGGCCGGAGAUUAAGCGUGUUGUGAAAUGUAGACGCUCAACGUCUGCACUGCAGCGCGAACUGGUUUCCUUGAGUACGCACAAAGUGGGCGGAAUUCGUGGUGUAGCGGUGAAAUGCUUAGAUAUCACGAAGAACUCCGAUUG